UUGCACGCUGGCGGCAGGCCUCACACAUGCAAGUCGCGCGGAUGAAGGGAGCUUGCUCCUGGAUUCAGCGGCGGACGGGUGAGUAAUGCCUAGGAAUCUGCCUGGUAGUGGGGGAUAACGUCCGGAAACGGGCGCUAAUACCGCAUACGUCCUGAGGGAGAAAGUGGGGGAUCUUCGGACCUCACGCUAUCAGAUGAGCCUAGGUCGGAUUAGCUAGUUGUUGGGGUAAAGGCCUACCAAGGCGACGAUCCGUAACUGGUCUGAGAGGAUGAUCAGUCACACUGGAACUGAGACACGGUCCAGACUCCUACGGGAGGCAGCAGUGGGGAAUAUUGGACAAUGGGCGAAAGCCUGAUCCAGCCAUGCCGCGUGUGUGAAGAAGGUCUUCGGAUUGUAAAGCACUUUAAGUUGGGAGGAAGGGCAGUAAGUUAAUACCUUGCUGUUUUGACGUUACCAACAGAAUAAGCACCGGCUAACUUCGUG
rnacentral:rRNA from 1 species